GUUUUGAUAGUUUAAAUAAAAACUCUGGUCUUGUAAACCAGUAAUGAAAUUUUUUUCUUAAAACACCA
rnacentral:tRNA from 1 species